AAAGGGCUAUAUAUAGAGUACAAUAGAGAUGAGAGACCCCAAACCCUAGACUAGAGUACAAUGACUAUAAUACCCUUAACAUAUAGCCCUUUGGGCAUAUCUCAAUACAACAACACAGUUUACUCAUCCUCUUCCUUCUCCAUCCGUAACAUUUACCUUUUCAAGUUCCACAAAACUCUUAGGUCUCGUUUAAUGUCGCAGUUGAGCCUAUUGUCGGAAAUGGGGAGUCCGCCAUGUUAUGGAGUUGGGAGAGACAGUUGGUUACAGGGAAAAACUAUCAGUGUUGGCUCCAAAUUUUAACAAUCUGAUCCCCAAAAGAGCAAUUAAGCAGCACACUUUGUCUCAAGUCUUAACUGCUUGAAGAUGGGUUAAUGCCAUCAAUAUAGCCCUCACUCUCCAAGUCCUAACGGAGUACCUUCAGUUUGGGAUCUGGUGGAAGAGCUGCACCUGCAGCAGCAGGUCCCUGAUCAACACCAGUGGAGGCCCUCACUGUCUGGCACCUAUACUAGCAAAUCAGCCUACAAUGCCUAUUUCCUUGGAACAAUCAUUUUUGCUGGAAGAGAAUUUGCAACACCUGGGCUCCAUUGCAUGAUGCAAGUUCUUUGUCUGGCUUGCCAUCAAUAAUUGAUGUUGGACUGUGGAUCGCCUGGCCAAGAGGGGGUUGCCACACCCUGCUGCUUGACCCUCGUGUGACCAGGCUGAGGACACAAUACAGCAUGUUCUUACAUUGUGUGUCUUCUCUAGGGCGAGUUUGGUCACGGAUUCUUCAGAAGUGGGUUCUGAUUACCAUUGCCCCACAGCAAACAGCAAGCUGUUUCUCAAGUUGGUGGUGCAGUGCUCUCAAAGGAGUACCCAGAAAGCUCCAGAAAGUGCUCGACUUUCUCAUCAUAUUAGAAGCCUGGGAAAUUUGAAAGCAUAAGAGUGAUUAUGUAUUCAAUGGUGCUAGGCCCAGUGUCCCAGCAGUUUUGUGGACAGUAGCAAAUGAUUCACCCUCUGGUGUUCGCCUGGAGAGGUGGCACUUCAGAAACUGCUACUUAGGUUGUUUACCUUGGUUAAUUAACUUUGUCAUCGGAGUGAGUUGGUCGACUAGACGACUACACUCAUAAGUGGCAGGUCUGCACUAAUCAAUUUUUACAGAGGUGGUGGUGGUUCGGGGAGGGGGGUGGGGGUGUUGAUGCCAACCUGUUCAUAUGAGAAUUCCCUUUCUUUUCUGCUUUUUUGGUAUUUGAGGCAAAGUUGAAACGUUGGGAAAUUUGCAUACUGUUGCUGGGCAAGCUACUAAGAGCUAUAUUUAUGGUAUGAUGGCAAAUGCAAUCACAGAGAAAUUUUUGCCACUCAUCAAGAGCUUCUAACUUUGCAGAGGGCUUCAAAGCAUGUGAAGUUUGUGAGGACUAUUGAUAGGUGUCAGCAUGUGAAUCAAACUAAGAAACAACCGAUAAAUGAGGAAAAUGGGCUGCAAGUUUGAGACAUUGUUUAGGGGAAUGAUCUCCUUGUUUAAUCGGUAAAUGAGAACCAUGACAUACAUGCAGCAGAUUGUGGUCUUGUGAUAUGUCUGGCCUGAGGAACCGGGGUUUAUUUGAUACACACACCAUUUGGUCCCUCUAGAGCAAAUGUGGAGUAUGAUGUGGAAGAGCAGCAUCACCAAAGGGAAAAGCAGGAUGAUGAGGUUGUAGUGUUUGAUCUGAAAUUGUUCAGAUGCUAAGCCAUUGUUUAAGAGAGACGUCCAGAAAUAGAGAAGGGUGGCUCCACAUUUGCUGAUAUUUGGUGCUAUCCAUAAGGCAACGUGCUGUCAAAACAGAGUUUGCGUCCAAAGUAUUGCAGUGACAGAUUGGUACAGGGCAAAAUCUGUGCACAAGGAACGUGAUUGGAAAAUUUGUGCAAAGAAACUAUGUGGUGCAGCACAUCCAUGGUGGCAUGAUUGAAGGUAAUGGAGGCUUCCAAAGUUUGGAUAGCCAACAGGGCAGAAGACCUAUUGGAGUGGUUUCAGCAGUUGAAAGGGUAAAACUUAGUGGCGAUAAACAGAUACAGAACCCCUCCCAAUGCAAAAGAUGCCUCCAAUUCGGCUGUACUGGGAAGACUUGCUGUGAAACCCAUGCUGAACUAGGCGAUGAGCUUCCUUCACCCGUUCUCACUGAGAACAGGAAGAGGAAAGUGGCAGCGAGCCCUUCAAGCUCCAAUAGUGUUGCAGCACAAGCCCCUGACAAACCAAAGAGGCAGAAGGCACCAAGGAGCAAAUCUACUCCCUCACGCACUCCAGGAUCGACAAUGAAAAGGAAGGCUGCAUCCACUCCAAGAGCUCCAGACACAUCUCGUAGCCCAGGGCCUACAACCAGGAGAAGGGCAGCAGGACGGCUUGCAUCACCACGCUCAUGAUGAAGCUCUCAUAUAUGUUGUAAUCAGUGUGUUUUUUCGCAGCUUGAUGUAUGGUGUAAAUGUGGCCAUCCUGUGUUGUGCAAAGUUAGCGCCUUGAUUUGCUGAUGCAACUGAGGUAGUGAGGUGUCCUGUUAUUUAUGUAAACUUAUUUUCGCUGUAGGUUCUCUUUAGCCGUUAGUUGUCAGUGUGUCAGCCCAGAUUGCCAUUCACUGCAAUCACAUAUUGCUGAUUGUGCUGUUCACACGAGUGCUCGACUUCCACUCCUGGAAAUACUGAUCAUGUAAGCAGCUCUCAGUUUUCUAAAUUUAGAGUACAUGAGCUCGUACUGUC